UCGUGCUCAAGUGUGUGAAUCAUCACACAAAUUUCUGGAACAUACGGAAACUACAAGUACCAGAACAAUGAAUGCCUUAUUGGUACACUCAAGAUACACACCAACUUCUGCCCAUGCAGGAUAUGGACUAUGACAAGGAAAUGGUAUUGAAUGUCCACGCAGUUUCUCUUCUCCACUCCCAACUAAGGGCCCUAUAGUUGGAUUUUUCGGAAGGCACAACAACUACCUCGAGUCCACUGGAAUAUUUGUCAAAGAGGAGUGCCCAUGCGCUUAAGUAUGUUGUUGAAGUCUUUGGUUAUGAGUAUUGAUGAAUAAAUAAAGUGCUUCAACGAUGACCUACUACGUUUCCUAUUAGAAGCCACACACUUAUCUUAUGUGAUGUCUUGUAAUUGUGACUUGUACUCAUCAUCUUGAAUAGCACUGUAUUGUUGUCUUGUAUGCCUGUUAAAUGAUAUAUAAGCUCUUUUUAAAAAUA